UGGGGUGUGAUCUACAAUCGAUACCGAGGCCAAAAAUAUAGUUUUUAGAAUUUUUGUCUGUUUGUCUGUUUGUUUGUAUGUAUGUCCGGGAUAAACUCAAAAAGUACUGCAUGGAUUUACUUCAAAUUUGGCACGAAUAUUAUUAAGAAAUCGGGUCAACAUAUAAGCUACAUAUUAUCACGCUAUCACCUACGGGGAACGAGCAGUGAACCUUUAUUUCUUCAACGCAUUCUGUAACAACGUGUAUUUUUGGUGCGUUCACGCAGACGAAGUCGCGGGCAGCAGCU
rnacentral:misc_RNA from 1 species